CCUCUGGCCAGGGGCCACUCCAGCGAGGAGAGUUUUCCACCGGAGCUCAACAUUGCUGCUGAGAGCAGCAGGCUCAACAGCAAGGGGCAGUAGCUAGUAGUUUCUUUUAAAAGAUUUAAAUCAUGGCUUGUCCAACCCAGUAGCUGACCUGCUUAAAGAAAACCUUAUUUUGUGCUCUACUGAAAUAGCCUUCAGGGACAGGAGCCUGCCCGGUGUGCUCGCUCCAAGGACAAGGUUCAGCCGCAUCGCCCCAGUGCCCUACCAGACCUCUGCUCUCAUCGCACAGUCGCUGAGCUGUGGUUUCCUGAGCAGUGCACGGGAGCACUGCUGCCCACGAGCAGGCAGCAAGGACACUGGCACAACCACCCCUUUCAGAGCUACGGCUUUCUUGGGAAGGCAAACGUCUCCCUCCCUCACCAACAUCAGCAUCAGAUGAGACCAUCUCGCAGCCCAGCACCAGGACCUCACUUCUGGCCUCAAAGAUGACAAUGAAAGCAGUUGGUUUUUCAAGGCACUUACCCACCGCAACCUAUGGGUAACUGCUCAGCACUUCAAGAAACAGGAUUCAAGCAACUGUCCCUUAAAGCAUGCCAGGGACACAUGAAUGAUAACACAAACAUUGGCAAGGGAGUCUGAAGAGGACCACAAAAUUUCUCUUGAAUUUUCCUCAACUUUUAGAAUCACGAGUUUGUACCUGCCAGCACGUAUAUAACCUGCUGGUAUUAAACCAUCCAAUAAUCAAGAAUGAUUAUGCCUAAUUCUGUUCAGGCAUAAAUCGGAGCAGCUCCACUGAAGCAAACCCAACUUGCCGCAGACCAGAGGGCCUACACGCGGUGGUUCUGGGCAUCGCUGCCCCCCACGAAGGGCCCUGUGAAGCUACGGCAAUGCGUACAGACACACGGGCUGUUUUCUGUAGAAAGCCAGAAGCGAUGGGAAGAAAUUCACCAACAUCACAAGGACGGGGCCCCCACAGACAAAGGCUGUCCCCAUGCUUCUCUGAGCUCCUGCGUUAAGACCACGGCUCCAGAUCCACAAAAAAGCUGUGAUGCUUCCCUUCAAGAUGCUCAGUGCUGUUACAGAUGUGCAGCCCCAGGUCAGGAGGACAUCCCCCUGCAUGUGCAGGAGCAGGGCCAGCCUCAGGCCACCACAGCCCCUGCCCACCUCCCCAGCCAUGGCUGACAGCAGCUUUGCUCCAGCUCUUUGAGGCCCAUGUCUGCAGCCUCCUGUAGCUCAGGUAGAGCUGCAUGUAGCGGCAGCUCCAUGAAUAGAUGAAGAAAAUGAACACAGGAACCAAGAGGUUGACCAGCCAAGGGGGCAGCCUGCAUAUGGACCAAAGUCCAGAGCUCCUCUGCCACCCUUCCUCAUUCACUCCAGAUAUGAGGAGCUGAAGGCAGCUGCAUUAACUCACCAGAUCCAACAGGGCACAUCUACAUUCUGGCAAAAACUUGAAGGAAGUUGCAUUGUCACCUAUGUCUGCCAUGGCUACAGAAAUAAUUGCACACGUAAUUUGCAUAUGCAAAUCAUCCCCAGCUUUCAUUAAUCUGUCCCUAAAAGUGCUGCCAAGGAAGUGGGAGGUCUAUUUAAGGAUAGAUUCAGAGGGAUAAACUAAUUGUUAUUUAAUAGAGCAAUUCUCCCAUUUUAUUUAAGGCCUUUCUUAGCCGCUGUGCACCAUUAGCAGAUGAAAUAACAUCUAAUCAGGCUAUCACAUUAUUGUAUUUUUGCACAAGCCAACAAAUGCUUAAUGGUUUUUAUUUUAGAAGCAAAAAGAUUCAUAUUACAGGAGAUUAAUGCUGUGAAAAAAUCUAUAUUAAUAUCUCUGCAAUAAAGGGUAUGAGUUAAUGGAUAGAUGACCCAGUUACAAAAACGUGGAGGUUUUAAAAAAUUCAAUACGAUGUAUUUUUAAACCUCACACUGUUAAGUCUUUGAAUAUACUUCUACAAAGAAGCCUUCUGUUAUGCAAAAAUGUUGUACACCCUGGCACAGAAACACGAAUUCAAUUUUAAUUGAAAGAAAUCCUGACACCCUCUCACCUAGGAAGCAGGCUUAUAUUCCGUAAUGAAGGCAGCAUUCAGGCUUGAUGGGCAAUAUCCUCUGCUGCCUGCCUGAGUUUUGAUCCAGCAGCAAGCAGAGGCUCUGCAGUUAUGGCCAAGAAGGUAAGAACUGCUUUCGACCACCCCAGCCCACAUUCCCUUCGUCUCCAGGCCAGGCAGCCGAACAGCUGGUGCUGCCACCAAGAGCAGCAGCUUAACGGGCAUCAAGGGGCACAGUGCUCCCGUCGCUCCGCUGACGGCAUCCUACAGAGGAAGCCUUGUGGAAGAGAACAUCACCUGUCUCCAGCAGCCCUCACCCACUCAAUGCACAGCAGCUAUAGCUCCUGCACUGCAUAGCUAAGCAGUUCUACACGCUAAGAACUGAACUGAGCACAAGUUCGUUGUCGGAACAAACUAAAAACUGAGAAUGCCUUAAUGCAUUAUAGAAAUUUCCAGGUCUUUAAUGAACAGUAUUUUUACCUGCUCCACAAGUUCUGCUUGCUCUCCCAUUUUUUCCUCCCUUCUCCAGCCAGCUCCUACCACUCAGUUUCAAAGCAGCCCAGCAUCAGUUACAUUUUCUUCAUUCCCUUGCCAGCUACUCCAACAUCACCCAAUGAAACUCUUGAAUUUCACGUCUUCUGAGCAAGAUGCUUCAGACAAGGCACUCAGCUCAAGCCUGAGCCUUGCCAGGUUGUGGCAACAGUGCCUAGUGAGGCUGAAGGUCUGUAAAUAUUGUAAUUUUUUCCUCGGUCACAG